rnacentral:ncRNA from 1 species
UCUGUCUGAGGUGGUGGAUUUCGUAGCAACCACACGCCAUAUUGGCCAAAAGAGACGCAGGAGAAUGCUACGCCUGCCGGGCAGG